CAGCCGCCGCGGUAACACAGAGGGUGCGAGCGUUAAUCGGAUUUACUGGGCGUAAAGCGUGCGUAGGCGGCUUCUUAAGUCGGAUGUGAAAUCCCUGAGCUUAACUUAGGAAUUGCAUUCGAUACUGGGAAGCUAGAGUAUGGGAGAGGAUGGUAGAAUUCCAGGUGUAGCGGUGAAAUGCGUAGAGAUCUGGAGGAAUACCGAUGGCGAAGGCAGCCAUCUGGCCUAAUACUGACGCUGAGGUACGAAAGCAUGGGGAGCAAACAGGAUUAGAUACCCCGGUAGUCCCUGUCUCUUAUAC
rnacentral:rRNA from 1 species